GUAGGUGGCAAGCGUUGUCCGGAAUUAUUGGGCGUAAAGCGCGCGCAGGCGGUCCUUUAAGUCUGAUGUGAAAGCCCACGGCUCAACCGUGGAGGGUCAUUGGAAACUGGGGGACUUGAGUACAGAAGAGGAAAGCGGAAUUCCAAGUGUAGCGGUGAAAUGCGUAGAGAUUUGGAGGAACACCAGUGGCGAAGGCGGCUUUCUGGUCUGUAACUGACGCUGAGGCGCGAAAGCGUGGGGAGCAAACAGGGAUUAGAUACCCUGGUAGUCCACGCCGUAAACGAUGAGUGCUAAGUGUCAGGGGGGGUUUCCGCCCCCUUAGUGCUGCAGCUAACGCAUUAAGCACUCCGCCUGGGGAGUACGGCCGCAAGGCUG
rnacentral:rRNA from 1 species